UAGGGAAUCUUGCGCAAUGGGCGAAAGCCUGACGCAGCCAUGCCGCGUGAAUGAUGAAGGUCUUAGGAUUGUAAAAUUCUUUCACCGGGGAAGAUAAUGACGGUACCCGGAGAAGAAGCCCCGGCUAACUUCGUGCCAGCAGCCGCGGUAAUACGAAGGGGGCUAGCGUUGCUCGGAAUUACUGGGCGUAAAGGGCGCGUAGGCGGAUGUCUAAGUUGGGGGUGAAAUCCCGGGGCUCAACCUCGGAACCGCCUUCAAUACUGGAUAUCUUGAGUUCGGGAGAGGUGAGUGGAAUGCCGAGUGUAGAGGUGAAAUUCGUAGAUAUUCGGAGGAACACCAGUGGCGAAGGCGGCUCACUGGCUCGGUACUGACGCUGAGGUGCGAAAGCGUGGGGAGCAAACA
rnacentral:rRNA from 1 species